rnacentral:lncRNA from 1 species
AGAGCUAUCUCUACGAGAUGGCUAAGUCUGUUUAGGACAGUUAAGAGUUUGUUGUGAUCAGCAACAAACUUAUUGGAAGAUAUUACCGUUUUUGAAUCUUUGCGAAGGAUAUGUGUUUUAAGAGGGUGUUAGUGCGUAUGAUUGUUUGGUGCUCCAAGAUGGUGUUUAUAUCGAGGAAGAUAUUUUCGUCAAAAAACUAUUCUUCAGGCGUCUGUGACGUCUCGUGAUGCUGAAGAUUAGUUUUUCUUUCGUAUGCCGCUUUUCGUGCUAGAAAUAUUUGCGGGCUUGAAGAUGUUUCGCGGUGUUGCAAGGGUUUAGUCUUAACCCUGCGUCGGAGAAACAUUUUUGGUUUGUCUGCGGAUGUUCGCAGCCAAAACUGUUAU